GUCUACAGCAAUGCCACCCUGAACAAGCCCAAUCUUGUCUGACCUUGAAAGCUAAGCAGGGUUGUGUCUGGGUAGUACCUGGAUGUGACACUGCCUGGGAAUACUGGGUUCUGUAGGUU
rnacentral:rRNA from 1 species